rnacentral:tRNA from 1 species
CUAGAUGUGGCUCAGUGAUAGAGCACUUGCCUAGCAUCCAUGAGGACCUAGGUUCAAUUCCCAGCACUCAGC